rnacentral:lncRNA from 1 species
CUCAAGCCUGCCUAUGAAAUCCGGUGCACUCCACCACCGGCCAGUCUUUUCCUCUCAGAAGCCCCUCUCUCACGCUAGAAAGAGAGUUAUUUUCCUUUGUCUUUCUUUUGCCUAUUAAACCUCUGCUCCUAAACUCCUCCUCGUGUGUAUCUGAGUCCUAAAUCUUCUUUGCACAAGACAACGAACCCCGGCUACUUACCCCAGAGAACAGUGUCACUUCACAUGAACUUUGAGAGGAAGAGAAGAGACACCAGCGAUACACAUGCAUAGAAGAAAAACAAUGUAAGACACAGUGAGAAAAUGGCCAUUGAAAGCCAAGGAGAGAAGCCUCAGGAGAAAUCAAAACUACCAACACCUUGAUCUUGGACUUCCAGCUUCCAAAACCAGGAGAAAAUUAAUUUCUGUUGUUUAAGCCACCCAGGUAUUUUGUUUAUGGCAGCCCUAGAAGACUAAUAGAAUACAUUAUAUUGAAUUUAUGUGUACCUAUCUUUUUUCAAGUAGACCAUGAAUCAGAAAAAGGUCAAUUCCAUUCCUACUUUGUAUUUCUAGCAUCCAAU